GACGAACGCUGGCGGCGUGCUUAACACAUGCAAGUCGAACGGAAAGGCCCUGCUUUUGUGGGGUGCUCGAGUGGCGAACGGGUGAGUAACACGUGAGUAACCUGCCCUUGACUUUGGGAUAACUUCAGGAAACUGGGGCUAAUACCGGAUAGGAGCUCCUGCUGCAUGGUGGGGGUUGGAAAGUUUCGGUGGUUGGGGAUGGACUCGCGGCUUAUCAGCUUGUUGGUGGGGUAGUGGCUUACCAAGGCUUUGACGGGUAGCCGGCCUGAGAGGGUGACCGGCCACAUUGGGACUGAGAUACGGCCCAGACUGCUACGGGAGGCAGAAGUGGAGAAUAUUGCACAAUGGGCGGAAGCCUGAUGCAGCAACGCCGCGUGCGGGAUGACGGCCUUCGGGUUGUAAACCGCUUUCGCCUGUGACGAAGCGUGAGUGACGGUAAUGGGUAAAGAAGCACCGGCUAACUACGUG
rnacentral:rRNA from 1 species